rnacentral:rRNA from 1 species
AGUGAACGCUGGCGGUAGGCCUAACACAUGCAAGUCGAACGGCAGCACAGUAAGAGCUUGCUCUUACGGGUUGCGAGUGGCGGACGGGUGAGGAAUACAUCGGAAUCUACUUUUUCGUGGGGGAUAACGUAGGGAAACUUACGCUAAUACCGCAUACGACCUACGGGUGAAAGCAGGGGAUCUUCGGACCUUGCGCGAUUGAAUGAGCCGAUGUCGGAUUAGCUAGUUGGCGGGUUAAAGGCCCACCAAGGCGACGAUCCGUAGCUGGUCUGAGAGGAUGAUCAGCCACACUGGAACUGAGACACGGUCCAGACUCCUACGGGAGGCAGCAGUGUGGAAUAUUGGACAAUGGGCGCAAGCCUGAUCCAGCCAUACCGCGUGGGUGAAGAAGGCCUUCGGGUUGUAAAGCCCUUUUGUUGGGAAAGAACAGCAGCAGGUUAAUACCACGCUGUUCUGACGGUACCCAAAGAAUAAGCACCGGCUAACUUCAUG